rnacentral:lncRNA from 1 species
AAAACAAAAACAAUUCUUGGAUCGUUUCUACCGUGACUGAAGUUGAAGAAGUGAAGAUGGUGUUAAAGCUUCUCCCAAUUUGGGCCACGUGUAUACUUUUCUGGACAGUUUAUUCACAAAUGACUACAUUCACUGUGGAGCAGGCAACCUUCAUGAACAGAAAAAUUGGCUCCUUUACUGUGCCUUCAGGUUCUUUAUCAGCCUUUCUAUUCAUAACCAUCCUUCUCUUUACUUCACUAAACGAAAAAGUGUUUGUUCCCCUGGCUCGAAAAAUCACACACUCCAUCCAAGGAAUGACAAGCCUUCAGAGGGUUGGCACUGGACUAAUUUUUUCAGUGAUUGCUAUGAUUGUUUCUGCCGUUAUUGAGCAGCAAAGGAGGGAAACU